CUACUGCGAAGUGAAUACAAUUCGCAUUACUGAAGGUUGCUGGUACACACAUGACAGAUCGUGAAAAAAUAUGUGCUCUUGUGUAUGAUGAAAUGUCUGUUCAAUCCUCCAUCGAGUACGACAAAAAGAACGAUGCAAUUAUUGGCCCGCAUUCUGAAAUGCAAGUCGUUAUUGUUAGAGGGCUUUUUUCUCAGUGGAAACAGCCCAUUUUCGUUGAUUUCGACACCAAAAUGACCAAGCAACUUUUGGACGAUCUGAUCACACGCCUCUAUGACAUAGGAUUCUCUGUGAUGGCCAAUGUACAUGAUUGUGGAUCAGGCAAUCGUGGUGUAUGGCGAGAUCACGGAGUCAAUUACGAGACUAAACAAACUUCAAUGAAGCAUCCAUGUACUGGAAAAGACAUCUUCUUCUUUCCAGAUGCCCCACACCUCUUGAAGCUUUUCCGAAACUGGCUUUUGGAUACCGGAUUCUUAUACGAAGGUAGAUUAGUCACAAAAAAGUUUUUGGAGCUCUUAGUGAAUAAAGCGACAACAGAGAAAAAAAUCUGACCGAUAGUGGUCAAGACGCUUCUGUCGAAUUAAAUUCGUUGUUCAAGCUGACUUCCAAGCAUUUGACAUGUCGUGGACCUGAGCGUCAAAACGUGAGAUUAGCUGCUGAGUUGAUCAGUAACACCACGGCUGUGAAUUUGAGAAGACACUACGGACAAUAUGAAGAAGCCUGCUUGCUGGCUAAAAUCAUUCAAAUUGUGAACGAUUGGUUUGACACGAUGAAUUCAUAUUCACUAAACCAGUAUAUUCUCUCGAAAAAAUGUUAUGGUGUGGAACUCGAAAAACAAAAUCAGAUUCUUGACCAAAUGGAAACUAUGAUCACAGAGAUUCGAGUGCUUACAGCACAUUGUCUGCCAGCUCAAACCGGACACAAGUUGUUCCAACAAGCGAUACUCAUUUCCAUCCAGUCUACAAAAAACCUGUUGACAGAGAUUCGAAAACUCCCCGGUUUGGAGCAAGGAUUUCUGAUGAUGUAUAAGGUUAACCAGGAUUGCGCAGAGAAUGAGUUUGCGGUGAUUCGACUAAACGGUGGUACUCAUGACCAUCCAACCCUCUUCAAGCUCUCGAACGUCUCAGAUUGAUGAUACUUGGCGAAGGAUUGUCAAAGCAGUUGAAAGUUAACCAAAAUACGCGGUCUGUUUUGGUGAAGGAAGCCAAUCCUAUAUCUAACGUUUUCCACAAAGCCAACCUUAACCUAAAGAAUAGAAAAAAUCACAAGAAGGUUGUAUGCAAAGCCACGACCGCAAGGUUGAAGUAGAAUACUUUUACAAGAAAGAUAACCUGGCUGCUUGCGUGUCAGUCAUUUUUUCUAGUAAAUAAACGUUGACCGUUCAUUGGCAGUAUUGUAAUUUCUUUUUGUCUGAUAUUUUGAAUAAAGUUCAUUGGAUAUUUUUAA